UUGACGACGUCAGUAGAGACCCUCACACAUCUUCUAGAACUUGGGCUGCCAUCAAAAUGCAUCGCUAGACUCCUUGGUGUGUCGAGAGCUACACUUUUUAGGCGGAUGGCUGAAAAUAAUCUAUCUAUAUCUGCCUCAUACAGUGGCUGCAGUGACGAUGAAUUGGACUCAUUGAUCACAGGAAUUAAGAGCACAAUGCCAGAUGCUGGGUGCAGAGUAGUCAAAGGUGCUCUACUUGCACAGGGACACAGAGUGCAAUGGGACAGAGUGUAUGCAUCCAUGCAUCGCGUGGACAGUGUAGGUGUACUUCCAGGAUGACUCGUCUGAGAUGUGUGGUGAGGAGGACAUACACAGUUCCUUACCCAAAGUACAUGGUGCACAUUGACACCAAUCACAAGCUCAUCAGAUGAUGUACCUCAAGGUAGCAGACAACAACCGAUCUGAUACACACCUGAUUCAAUGAAGCUGUGAAUGAGCAUGGGUUUCCUCUGAGAGUGAGAGGAGAUCACAGAGGAGAAAAUAUGGGGAUAGCGGAAUUAAUGUUCUCAGUUUGUGGAACUGACAUUAACAGCUUCAUAGCGGG